rnacentral:piRNA from 1 species
UGACUUACGAAGGAUGUGGUCUGAGCCA